UGGGGAAUAUUGGACAAUGGGCGAAAGCCUGAUCCAGCCAUGCCGCGUGUGUGAAGAAGGUCUUCGGAUUGUAAAGCACUUUAAGUUGGGAGGAAGGGCAUUAACCUAAUACGUUAGUGUUUUGACGUUACCGACAGAAUAAGCACCGGCUAACUCUGUGCCAGCAGCCGCGGUAAUACAGAGGGUGCAAGCGUUAAUCGGAAUUACUGGGCGUAAAGCGGGCGUAGGUGGUUUGUUAAGUUGGAUGUGAAAUCCCCGGGCUCAACCUGGGAACUGCAUUCAAAACUGACUGACUAGAGUAUGGUAGAGGGUGGUGGAAUUUCCUGUGUAGCGGUGAAAUGCGUAGAUAUAGGAAGGAACACCAGUGGCGAAGGCGACCACCUGGACUAAUACUGACACUGAGGUGCGAGAGCGUGGGGAGCAAACA
rnacentral:rRNA from 1 species